GUAUCCUCAGGGACCUCGGGCUAAGUUGAGAUUGCAAAAUAAAAGAAAGAAGCAUUAUUUUGAUUUAGAAAAUAAAUUAUCUUAAAAUUGAUGUAAUUAGAAAAUAAAGAGCUCAGGAGUUUUGAAUUAAUUUUGCACUAGUAGAGUUGUAUCUCUUUUUUUUAAUUAAAUAGAUGUGAUUAAUCUUAAGAAAAAUACCCAUCUUUCCUUGACACACCCCAUACCCG
rnacentral:lncRNA from 1 species